rnacentral:rRNA from 1 species
CAGUCGCCGCGGUAAUACAGAGGGUGCGAGUGUUAAUCGGAUUUACUGGGCGUAAAGCGUGCGUAGGCGGCUUUUUAAGUCGGAUGUGAAAUCCCCGAGCUUAACUUGGGAAUUGCAUUCGAUACUGGUUAGCUAGAGUGUGGGAGAGGAUGGUAGAAUUCCAGGUGUAGCGGUGAAAUGCGUAGAGAUCUGGAGGAAUACCGAUGGCGAAGGCAGCCAUCUGGCCUAACACUGACGCUGAGGUACGAAAGCAUGGGGAGCAAACAGGAUUAGAUACCCGUGUAGUCCCUGUCUCUUAUAC